rnacentral:lncRNA from 1 species
GAAAACCAAAGGGGCCUUAUUUUAAUUUGGAGGCCAUAAAUGCCAUCCAUAUGCAAAUGCAGCUUUUAGCUAAAGCCUUGCCAAGUAUCUUUGUGCGUGUUGCAUAUGAUAGCAUCUCAGUCAGAGCUGAUACUCCUGCUUAUCACAGAACCACAGAGCUGUGGGUGUCGGAAGGGUCCUCUUGGCAUUGCUGAGUCCAUCCCCCAGCUAAAGGGGGUUCCCUGCAGCAGGUUGCACAGGUGGUGACGUUGAGACAGAUGUAGAAUGUUAACAGUGCUGCUCGUGAAGACAACAGUUUUUCAUCCAAGGCAUGAAGCCUACAGAGAGGUAUCCUGCAAGAGCUUGGCUGCUCCAGCACACAGUGUUUGUGAUGUCUGGACCUGACGUAUUAGCAACAACACAACAGAGCUCGCUGCUGUCAGUGAAUUUCAGAGAGCAAGAGGCUGCCUUGAGAAGAAUAUAGAUGGGGUCCACAUCCAUAACAUGGGAGAAGGUUUAAGAAUAACGUAUUGGAAAAUGGUUUCAGAUCAUUUCACAGCGGGAAAGCCCACGGAUUCAGAAGAAUUGUGCAGAAGGGCUCCACAUCACACACGUGGCUGGGAAGCUGGUACAUGGCAUCACGGCUCAGAAGGUCGGGGAAAAUUAUCAUAAUCUGCUGCUCCAGCUUCUGGAAUAAAAGCCUGUUAAUGCCUG